UACGGAGGAUCCGAGCGUUAUCCGGAUUUAUUGGGUUUAAAGGGUGCGCAGGCGGGGGAUUAAGUCGGCGGUGAAAUUUUGCAGCUCAACUGUAAAAGUGCCUUCGAAACUGGUCUCCUUGAGUGUAGAUGAAGUAGGCGGAAUUUGUGGUGUAGCGGUGAAAUGCAUAGAUAUCACGAGGGACUCCGAUUGCGCAGGCAGCUUACUAAACUACUACUGACGCUCAGGCACGAAGGCGUGGGGAUCAAACAGGAUUAGAUACCCUGGUA
rnacentral:rRNA from 1 species